rnacentral:rRNA from 1 species
UACGUAGGGGGGCGAGCGUUGUCCGGAUUUAUUGGGCGUAAAGAGCUCGUAGGCGGCUUGGCAAGUCGGGUGUGAAACCUCCAGCUCAACCUGGAGACGCCACUCGAUACUGCCAUGGCUAGAGUCCGGUAGGGGACCACCGGAAGUUCCCUGGUGUAGCGGUGAAAUUCGUAGAUAUCGAGAGGAACACCGGUGGCGAAGGCGGCCUUCUGGACAGUGACUGACGCUGAGACGCGAAAGCGUGGGGAGCAAACAGG